UACGUAGGGUCCGAGCGUUGUCCGGAAUUAUUGGGCGUAAAGGGCUCGUAGGCGGUUCGUCACGUCGGGAGUGAAAACUCGGAGCUUAACUCCGAGCCUGCUUCCGAUACGGGCAGACUAGAGGUAGGCAGGGGAGAGCGGAACUCCUGGUGUAGCGGCGGAAUGCGCAGAUAUCAGGAAGAACACCGGUGGCGAAGGCGGCUCUCUGGGCCUUACCUGACGCUGAGGAGCGAAAGCGUGGGUAGCGAACAGG
rnacentral:rRNA from 1 species